rnacentral:tRNA from 1 species
GCUCUUGUGGUGUAACGGUAGCACACUCGACGUGUGUUUGAGAGGUCCAGGUUCGAAUCCUGGCGAGGGCA